rnacentral:tRNA from 1 species
AAAAAAAUAAGCUAAAUAAGCUAAUAGAUUCAUACUUUAUUAAUGAAAGUUCCAGUCUUUCUUUUUUUA